rnacentral:rRNA from 1 species
UACGUGAGGUGGCAAGCGUUGUCCGGAAUUAUUGGGCGUAAAGCGCGCGCAGGUGGUUCUUUAAGUCUGAUGUGAAAUCGUCCAGGCUCAACUUGGAGGGGUCAUUCGAUACUGCCAUGACUAGAGUUCGGUAGGGGAGUGUGGAAUCCUGGUGGAGCGGUGAAAUGCGCAGAUAUCAGGAGGAACACCCGUAGCGAAGGCGGCACUCUGGGCCGGAACUGACGCUGAGGAGCGAAAGCGUGGGGAGCGAAACAGG